rnacentral:rRNA from 1 species
UUUAAUGAGAGUUUGAUCCUGGCUCAGGACGAACGCUGGCGGCGUGCCUAAUACAUGCAAGUAGAACGCUGAAGUCUGGUGCUUGCACUAGACGGAUGAGUUGCGAACGGGUGAGUAACGCGUAGGUAACCUGCCUCAUAGCGGGGGAUAACUAUUGGAAACGAUAGCUAAUACCGCAUAACAGUAUUUACCGCAUGGUAGAUGCUUGAAAGGAGCAAUUGCUUCACUAUGAGAUGGACCUGCGUUGUAUUAGCUAGUUGGUGAGGUAACGGCUCACCAAGGCAUCGAUACAUAGCCGACCUGAGAGGGUGAUCGGCCACACUGGGACUGA